rnacentral:rRNA from 1 species
UGGGGAAUAUUGCACAAUGGGGGAAACCCUGAUGCAGCCAUGCCGCGUGUGUGAAGAAGGCCUUCGGGUUGUAAAGCACUUUCAGCGAGGAGGAAAGGUUGGCACCUAAUACCUGCCAACUGUGACGUUACUCGCAGAAGAAGCACCGGCUAACUCCGUG